rnacentral:piRNA from 1 species
UGACAAAUGGAGAUUCCCUACAGACACU